rnacentral:rRNA from 1 species
ACGCUCGACACCUACGGGAGGCAGCAGUAGGGAAUCUUCCACAAUGGACGGCAAGUCUGAUGGAGCAACGCCGCGUGAGUGAAGAAGGUCUUCGGAUCGUAAAACUCUGUUGUUAGAGAAGAACACGAGUGAGAGUAACUGUUCAUUCGAUGACGGUAUCUAACCAGCAAGUCACGGCUAACUACGUGCAAGCAGCCGCGGUAAUCUGAGCGGGCUGGCAAGGC